UACGGAGGGUGCGAGCGUUAUCCGGAUUCACUGGGUUUAAAGGGAGCGUAGGCGGGCAUGUAAGUCAGUGGUGAAAUCUUGGGGCUCAACCCCGAAACUGCCAUUGAUACUAUGUGCCUUGAAUGUCGUUGAGGUUUGCGGAAUAUGUCAUUGUAGCGGUGAAAUGACUUAGAUAUGACAUAGAACACCGAUUGCGAAGGCAGCAGGCUAAACGAAUAUUGACGCUGAGGCUCGAAAGCGUGGGGAUCAAACAGG
rnacentral:rRNA from 1 species